GACGAACGCUGGCGGCGUGCUUAACACAUGCAAGUCGAGCGGAGCGGCGAACGGGUGCGUAACGCUUGAGUAAGUUCCCCCCUCUCUGGGAUAACAGUUGGAAACGGCUGCUAAUACCGGUUAGUGGGGGAUGGGUCGCGUCCGAUCUGCUUUUGGGUGUGGUAGUGGCCUACCAAGGCGACGCCGGGUAGCCGGCCUGAGAGGGCGAACGGCCCCAUUUGGCGGGGAUGCGGCCCAAACGACUACGCGGGGAAGCAGUGGGGAAUAUUGCACAAUGGGGGAGACCCUGAUGAAGCAAUCCGCGUGCGGGAUGACGGCCUUCGGGUUGUAAACUGCUUGCAGCCAUGACGGGGUAGUGGCAAAAGAAGCACCGGCUAACUACGUGCCAGCAGCGCGGUAAUAC
rnacentral:rRNA from 1 species